rnacentral:rRNA from 1 species
UACAGAGGGGGCAAGCGUUGUUCGGAAUUACUGGGCGUAAAGGGCGCGUAGGCGGCCUUCUAAGUCGAACGUGAAAUCCCCGGGCUCAACCCGGGAACUGCGUCCGAUACUGGAAGGCUUGAAUCCGGGAGAGGGAUGCGGAAUUCCAGGUGUAGCGGUGAAAUGCGUAGAUAUCUGGAGGAACACCGGUGGCGAAGGCGGCAUCCUGGACCGAUACUGACGCUGAGGAGCGAAAGCCAGGGGAGCAAACGGG